rnacentral:lncRNA from 1 species
CUGAUGUGUCCUUGUUUUGUGUAAUCCUUUUGACAGUGUUGGAUUUUUUUAAUUUGCUUUUUAAUAUCUGUCUGGGAUGGGGAGGUUUGAAGCUGAGGUUUCACAGGAGGAAGAGCGGGCUGCCGGCAGUGCUCGUGCACUGCACCGCACAGUGUUUAUGCGAGUCCAGCUGCGGCUUCAGUCGCCCCAACCUCUCCAGCAGCUGGCGGCGACCAGGAGGAGGAGGAGGAGGAGGCGGCAGCCUUUCUCCUUCCCGCGUCCUGUUGCCCCUGCUUGUGAUGGUGCACAGGGUUAUGGGGGGUCGGAGCAGAGGAGCGACCUGCGAGCGGGGCUGAGGGUUCGUCCUCAGAGGAGAGGCCGGGACCGCGCGGACGCGGCAGGGCGGCUCGGGCGGCUGCCAACCCUCCAGGGACCGGGGUCAGCGACGGAAACUGCAACCGGUUUUGAGAGGAGGAGAGAAAGAGCUCGGCUUUGCCUUUGGUUGGGAUCUCGGCAUUCAAAUCCUUUGAGAUGAACAUCGUGGGGUGUCGCUUCGGCAAAGUUUGUGUUAGUGCCUGAAGACAGGUUUUCAUACUCCUAAAAUUCUUCCAUUCCUUUUAAGUGUGCAUAUUUUUCCAAGCAUACUAUCUUGCUGCGUGCCUUCCCCUAAAUUACUGAAUUAUUCCUUUCCUUCUGGCCUUCACUUUUUUUCUUUUUUUUAAUAGCAUUAUCUUUUUGUCUGGGUGUUUUAAAUGGCUAAAACUGGUUUCUGUUUAGCAUACCAAGCUGAGAACUCCCCCGUGAGAAGCGGUUCUCACCAAACGAUUGCAUCGUACAGGAAUGCUGGCCUUUUUUCCUGGAAACUUGUAAACAUGAACUUCCUGUUGACACGAACUGUAAAUCUGCAAAUAGGCUUUGCUUCUGAUGAAAGAUCAAGCCUUAACAUGAGAUCUGGUGGGAAGCGUAAACCACGUGAGCUGUCGAGAGCCUGCAGUCUUCACCCUCUCCGCGGAGGAGCAGAGGAGCGGUGGCAGCCGGGAAGCCGUGGCGGCGGGGCCCGGACGGGGCCGGGCGCGGGGCUCUGGUGUCGCGGGGUCUGCGCUCGCCCCGGCGCGGCUCGACGUCGCAGCGAGCAAGCCGUGUGCUUCGCCUGCCUUCUGCCAGCGCCAAGGCAAACGCGCCAGCAGCUUGUUGGGGGAAGAGGCGGCAGCGUACAGAGAGUAUCCGAGCGUUUCCCCGCUGCGUGCUUUUGGGAGGUUGCCGCGGGCUUGCUUUCUGGGCCGCCGCCGGUAGCGGAGGCAGUGACGGGGCUCGGGCACGGGGCAAUCGGCCGCAGCGGGCGCGAACGCGCGGGGUCUGGGACUGCCCGAGGGACUGCUGGAGCUGUCGGGGUUAGCAGCAAGGCGAGGGAUGCUGAGGGUGGAAGGGGUAGGGGCAAGCGAGGCCCUGGGAGACGGCGGAAGGAGGGAGUGGAGAAGAGAAGCGGAGAUAAGGUGAAAAAGGAGACUUAAGAGCAUGGCAGUGGAAAAGGGCAAAGGCUGCAGAGAGGAAGGCGUGCUCGCAGGACCCCAAAAGGCAGAACGGAAGGGAUGGAAAUUAGGAGCAAGGGGCAGGAUGAAAGGAAAGGAGGAAGAAUAAAUGAGCAGGAUGGAGGCUGAGCUCUCUUAAU